rnacentral:rRNA from 1 species
GACGAACGCUGGCGGCGUGCUUAACACAUGCAAGUCGAGCGAGGCCCUCCUUCGGGGGGUGCCCUAGCGGCGGACGGGUGAGUAACACGUAGGCAACCUGCCUGUAAGACCGGGAUAACAUUCGGAAACGAAUGCUAAUACCGGAUACGCAGCCUGAUCGCAUGAUCGGGCUGGGAAAGACGGUGCAAGCUGUCACUUACAGAUGGGCCUGCGGUGCAUUAGCUAGUUGGUGAGGUAACGGCUCACCAAGGCGACGAUGCAUAGCCGACCUGAGAGGGUGAUCGGCCACACUGGGACUGAGACACGGCCCAGACUCCUACGGGAGGCAGCAGUAGGGAAUCUUCCGCAAUGGACGAAAGUCUGACGGAGCAACGCCGCGUGAGUGAUGAAGGUCUUCGGAUCGUAAAGCUCUGUUGCCAGGGAAGAACAACCAAGGGAGUAACUGCCCUUGGAAUGACGGUACCUGAGAAGAAAGCCCCGGCUAACUACGUGCCAGCCGCCGCUGUAAAAC